rnacentral:rRNA from 1 species
UACGUAGGGUGCGAGCGUUGUCCGGAAUUAUUGGGCGUAAAGAGCUCGUAGGCGGUUUGUCGCGUCGGCCGUGAAAUCUCCACGCUUAACGUGGAGCGUGCGGUCGAUACGGGCAGACUGGAGUUCGGCAGGGGAGACUGGAAUUCCUGGUGUAGCGGUGAAAUGCGCAGAUAUCAGGAGGAACACCGGUGGCGAAGGCGGGUCUCUGGGCCGAUACUGACGCUGAGGAGCGAAAGCGUGGGGAGCGAACAGG